ensembl:snRNA U6 U6 spliceosomal RNA
GUGCUCAUGUCAGCAGCACAUAUACUACAAUUGGGGCCAUACAGAGAAGAUUAGCACGUCCCCUAUGCAAGGAUGACAUGCAAGAUGGGUGCGGCUGUGCAGGCCUGU